rnacentral:rRNA from 1 species
GACGAACGCUGGCGGCGUGCUUAACACAUGCAAGUCGAACGGAAAGGCCCUGCUUUUGUGGGGUGCUCGAGUGGCGAACGGGUGAGUAACACGUGAGUAACCUGCCCUUGACUUUGGGAUAACUUCAGGAAACUGGGGCUAAUACCGGAUAGGAGCUCCUGCUGCAUGGUGGGGGUUGGAAAGUUUCGGCGGUUGGGGAUGGACUCGCGGCGUAUCAGCUUGUUGGUGGGGUAGUGGCUUACCAAGGCUUUGACGGGUAGCCGGCCUGAGAGGGUGACCGGCCACAUUGGGACUGAGAUACGGCCCAGACUCCGACGGGAGGCAGCAGUGGGGAAUAUUGCACAAUGGGCGGAAGCCUGAUGCAGCAACGCCGCGUGCGGGAUGACGGCCUUCGGGUUGUAAACCGCUUGCGCCUGUGACGAAGCGUGAGUGACGGUAAUGGGUAAAGAAGCACCGGCUAACUACGUG